GGGACGCUGCAAACCUGGAAGUAAGUGUUCCGGUUUGUGAGUUUUUCAGAAGCCGAAUGUCUGUUUCGGCUGUUGGUGUUGUUUCCAGGGCCAAUUGGAAGUCGCGCCUUGGUUUGCAAACGUUUUGGAAGUCGAACAGACUCCCGGGACGGAUUGAGUUUGAGAACCAAGGUACCACUGUACCUCAAAAGUGUUUUGGGUUCUUGAUUUCCCCGCUUUGAGCAGGAGAUCGGACUUGACAGCCUGCUAGAUCUCUUCCAACUCCAACUUUCAGUCAGUGGGAAUAACAGCAACAACGCCCAUCCUUUUAGUUAAGUUUCAGCAACCUAAAGUUCAACAUUAAAAGCAGUUAAGACAAUUAAAUUACUACUGAUUGAUUGAUAGAUGGGUGCUUGACAUGAUCUCCCUUGCAAUCCUGGAAUAAGUGCACUUGCCUGUUGUCCCUCUAGUUAACAUUUUGAACCACUUGCUAUCAGCGGCAAAAGAGUGGGGUUUUUUGUGGGGUACAGCGGCAGCGGCGGAGCAGAUCAGUAUAUAUGCAAGGAUUUGCUUUGAUAGAUGUCAUCACACUCCCAGUUUAAAAUAAACCCAUAAAUGCCCCUUUUGGAGGAUCGAAGAACUUUUCUUGGUGAUAUUUCGGGCACUGUAACAAGAAAGUGAGGGUUUAUCUUCUUUAAAGAUCUGUGUCAGUUUCCUGAGGGAGCCUUCCUUGGGGGGUUGGAAUGAAGCUAUGAAACCACAUACACUUUAAUCUAUCGGUAUAUGCUGCGGGCCUGCCCUCCCAUCUCCAGUUGCGAGUUUGAAUUGUGGUUGUGGAUAGAGGUGGUUACCUAAGAUCUAAGUUCCUGGGUGUGAGGCCUGGUGCCCUACAAAGAUAGGAGCGGUUGGCUAGGCUAGGCCUAGCUCCUGAAUGCCCUCAAUCAUGACCCAAAAUUUGUAUCGACCAGGCUGUUGUAUGUGUGUACAGACCACAUCAUUCCCCCAAUGGCAGACGGCCUUCGUAUGAGCGAUAUUGAAUGCCGCUGUCAUUGGCCAAUCAAAAUUCUUUUGUGAGGAGUUCCUCCUCACCCACUCCUCCAGGUAGGAACCUUGAAGUAUCCCACACGCCUUCCUUUUUUCUGAUAGGACCAGGAUGAGGAUGUUGUCUUGGUUGUUAAGAGCCAGAGGACGCUCAAACAUAGUAUUUGAGAAACCUCAUCCUCAUGAAUCCAGACUUAAGUUGCAAUGAAGUUGUUCGUCAUGACUUGACAUCGUUCCCGCUGAAAUCAGUGAGGCUUUUAGUGCAGGGUUCCCCAAACUUGGCUCUCUCUGUCUGGUUUUGGACUAGAACUCCCAUCAUCCCUAGCUAGCAGGAUCCGGUGGUCAGGAAUUAUGGGAAUUGUAGUCCAAACUUGGGAAACACUGCUUCAGUGGAUUGAAAACAGCAACAGGGAACCUGCAGCCUUCUAGGUGCUAUUGGACUACAACUCCCAUCAUCCCUCACUAUUGGCUAUGCUGAUGGGAGAUGAAGUCCAACAGCACCCGGAGGGAGGCAAGUUCCCCUUUGCCGAUUGAACCCAAUGAGUGUCCUUAGCUAAAGUGCCGUCAAGGUAGCUCACUGGUUUGACACAAGCCAAGGUAGAUGGUGCGCCAUGAUGCUGCUAGUGCAGAAUUGAAGUGGGAGCAGAGGUGAAAUAAAGAGCAGGGACAAUGAGGAAGCCACUUAUUUUAAGCAAGGCUGUGGGGUUUUCCUGUAGUCUGCGGCAGGUCAUAGAGAGAGGCAGUCGCCCAGAGUCUCAAGUCCUUCCUGUCCACCCACAAAGGAGAUGCAGGCGUUUCCUUUGUCCUCAUGUGCUGCUGUCCACCAAGGGGCUUGUGGAAAGCCGCCGUGCAGGCCCAGAGCUCUGUGCAAGGCUGCAUGCUUGCUUCUGUCCCUAUGGCUAAACUCUGCCUUGCACACUGGUGCUUCUACAUGUGGGUUUGAAGCAGAGGCACGUUGGAGGGGAGAGGGUGAGCCAUGGAUUUUCAUGUGCAUUGCCAGCUUGCUGGAUGCGGUCGUUGUUCCCCCUGCCCUUCCACGCUGCACACGUUUUGUGUCCAAUACGCCUGUUUCUGCACCAGCGUAGCUUUACGUUCAUGGUUUUCGUUAACGCAGGUAUAAAAUGAAAUCCCGCCGUUGGGAUUGUACGGCUCGUUCACCCAGAGCAAUAGAGACUCCAGCUAAAUCUGAGGUCAGGCGGUGUGUGUUCCGCAGAACUCGUAGGUAGGGCUUGUCACAUCUACAUUUUCCCACCUCCCUUUUUUUUAAAGGUGGGUGGGAAGACAAAUAUCCACCAGCCGUAUUUUUCAUUUUGGUUUUCGUUUUGUUCUUAUUUCUAGGGGGAGGAGGGUGGGAAGUCAGAACUGGCCAAGAGUAGCAACUCCUUCGAAAAGCCAUGAGUCUUUAGGACAACAGCAUGGAACAAGUUGUGUGUUUGUUUGUUUGUGUGUGUGUGCGUGUGUGCGUUACAGCUCCUGUUUUGUGGAGGAUUCCACACCAGUAUUAAGUUGCCAAGGGGGCUGUUUUCAUGGAGGGGAAGAGGGACUUUGUCCGAAAAACAAACAAAAAAACCACCAAUCCUCUAACCAGCCCCCUUCUCAUGUUGUUGAAAGAUGCCCCCCACAAGUGGGAAUAACUGUAAUUUUAUUUUAUUUUUCCUGCUUUCCCCCUCCUGCUUUCUGUCUCUUUCUCUUUCUCUCUGUUUUAUCUCGCUCUGGAUACAAUUUUCAGUUGAGUAUUUUGUAAUAUGUUCCAAUGUUUGUCCUUGUGUAAAUAAAAUUGUUUCUGGCAAUA